GAGAUGGGAAUGGGACUGAUUCCAGAACCUUGAACUAUUGGGAGGCAAUGGCGGCAGAGUUUCCCUUACAGCAAACGUAGCCAGCAACCGCCCAGCAUCAACGUGGUGCUCCCGGGGAUGGGGGUCCCUCACUCUCUGGGGAUGUGACUCAUGCUAAAGGUCCUUUCCUUCAACUGGUUCAGCUGCCUGGAUCUACAUCCUACACUGUCUGUACAAAGAUGCCCUUGAAUGGUUCACAAAGUGACAAGGAGACAGACAUGUAAACAAACUACAGCACAUUGUGACACGCCGGCUAUGGGAACACAGAUGCCUCCCUGCCCAGGUCUCUGGACACUCGUACAAUCUAGAACACACAUACUACAAAGAUGUACUUGUUGGCAACAUGUCCCAGCCUUUCUGAAUCAAUGCCUUCUGCCACUGCGCUGCCCAGUCCUCUGGGGAUGACGGUCCCUCCACAGCAUCUGCCUGCUCAAGAUGGCUGGGGGAGGGAAAUUCUCCUGGCUCCCAGGAUUCUGGCUGUGUGCCACAGGGGCACCGGCGGCCGAGCGGUGGGUUCAAGUCCUCGUGGGUUCACCGUACUCUCUCCACCUGCCAAAGCCUGUGCUCUGAUCUACUGCAACUCUUCCGUCUUAAUAAA